UACGUAGGGUGCAAGCGUUAAUCGGAAUUACUGGGCGUAAAGCGUGCGCAGGCGGUUGUGCAAGACAGAUGUGAAAUCCCCGGGCUCAACCUGGGAAACUGCAUUUGUGACUGCACGGCUGGAGUGCGGCAGAGGGGGAUGGAAUUCCGCGUGUAGCAGUGAAAUGCGUAGAUAUGCGGAGGAACACCGAUGGCGAAGGCAAUCCCCUGGGCCUGCACUGACGCUCAUGCACGAAAGCGUGGGGAGCAAACAGG
rnacentral:rRNA from 1 species